rnacentral:rRNA from 1 species
AUGGCGGCAGCGGCGAACCAAGACAAGCAGCGGCGGCAGCUCAUCCUUGCUCUCUUUCUCCUCGUCUUGGCCUCCCAGAGUUGGCGCUGCUGCUCUGCAGGUUACGGUAGUGGGCAGGAAGCUGAUAGGGUGGUCUUCCUCCCCGGUCAGCCAAGGAGCCCGCAGGUCUCUCAGUUCGCCGGGCAUGUCACCGUGAACAAGCGGAAUGGGAGGGCGCUCUUCUACUGGUUCUUCCAGGCUCAGUCACAGCCCUCGCACAAGCCUCUCCUGCUCUGGCUCAAUGGAGGACCAGGCUGCUCAUCAGUUGGAUACGGAGCUGCUUCUGAGCUAGGACCUCUCACGGUGAGCAGAUUUGCAGCAGGGCUCGAGUUCAACAAGUUUGCAUGGAACAAAGAAGCCAACUUGCUCUUCGUGGAGUCUCCUGUUGGGGUUGGCUUCUCCUACACCAACACAUCCUCUGACCUCACCAACCUCAAUGAUGAUUUUGUAGCUGAGGAUACAUAUAAUUUCCUGAUUAAUUGGUUCAAGAGGUUUCCGCAGUACAAGGACCAGGAGUUCUAUAUCUCAGGAGAGAGCUAUGCAGGUCAUUAUGUGCCACAACUAGCUGACCUUGUCUAUGAGAGGAACAAAGAUAAGAAGGCCAACACAUACAUCAACUUUAAAGGGUUCAUUGUUGGCAAUCCAUUAACUGAUGAUUACUAUGACUCGAAGGGACUGGCCGAAUAUGCUUGGAGCCAUGCAGUUGUAUCAGAUGAAGUUUACGAUCGCAUAAAAAAGGAUUGUGAUUUUAGAGCCUCAAACUGGACCGAUGAUUGCAACAAAGCCAUGAACACCAUCUAUGGACAGUACCAGUUGAUCGACAUAUACAACAUUUAUGCGCCCAAGUGCAAUCUUGGACAAACAUCAGCAGCAUCCGUUGUUGAUAAAGCACUCGAAUAUAGUGACCAUGAACCUUUCAGGAGGAGAAUUAGGUUGUUCUCGGGAUAUGAUGAGUGCUACUCAUCUUAUGCUCAAGAGUACUUCAAUAAGGCAGAUGUGCAAAGGGCACUUCAUGCAAAUGUCAAUGGGAUGUUGCCUGGGAAAUGGCAAGUUUGCAGUGACUCCAUUCUGAAGUCGUACAACUUUUCGGUACUUUCCAUUCUACCAAUAUACUCCAAGCUCAUCAAAGCAGGACUGAGAGUCUGGCUCUACAGUGGAGAUGCGGAUGGCAGGGUCCCAGUGAUCGGGUCACGAUAUUGUGUGGAAGCACUUGGCUUGCCUAUCAAGUCACAGUGGCAACCAUGGUACCUGAACAAACAGGUUGCUGGAAGAUUUGUGGAGUACCAUGGUAUGACCAUGGUGACAAUAAGAGGGGCUGGCCACUUGGUACCCCUCAACAAGCCCACAGAAGGGAUAGCGCUGAUCGACACAUUCCUUCUUGGUAAACAGCUUCCUACACACCGAUGA